CCCGAGGCAUGCUGGGAGCCUGGAGGACUAGCGAGGAGGAGUUGAGAGAACGGAGCGGACGCCAUGGCGGCCGACAUCGAGCAGGUUUUUAGGUCUUUCGUGGUCAGUAAAUUCCGGGAAAUACAACAGGAGCUUUCCAGUGGAAGGAGUGAAGGCCAGCUGAAUGGUGAAACGAAUGCACCCAUUGAAGGGAACCAGGCAGGUGACACAGCUGCCUCUGCAAGGAGUCUCCCAAAUGAAGAGAUAGUGCAGAAGAUAGAGGAGGUCCUCUCUGGGGUCCUAGACACAGAACUGCGAUACAAGCCGGACUUGAAAGAGGCCUCCAGAAAAAGUAGAUGUGUAUCUGUACAAACAGAUCCUACCGAUGAAGUUCCCACCAAAAAGUCAAAGAAGCAUAAAAAGCACAAAAACAAAAAGAAGAAAAAGAAGAAAGAAAAGGAAAAAAAAUAUAAAAGACAACCAGAAGAAUCUGAAUCCAAGCUGAAAUCUCAUCAUGAUGGGAAUGUUGAUCUAGAAUCUGAUUCCUUCUUAAAGUUUGAUUCUGAACCUUCAGCAUUGGCACUGGAACAUCCUGUAAGAGCAUUCGGCUUAUCUGAGGCCAGUGAAACCCCCUUAGUGCUAGAGCCUCCAGUAGUCUCAAUGGAGGUUCAGGAACCACAUGCUUUAGAGACUCUGAAGCCAGCUACAAAACCUGCAGCACUGUCAGCUGUGUCUACAUCAGUAAUCUCGGAGCAGCCUGAGCAACCUGUGCCAGUUAUGCUGGAGCCAUCAAUGACAAAGAUUCUGGACUCCUUCGCAGCAGCACCAGUGCCUAUGUCAACAGCAGUGCUGAGGUCGCCUGAGCCCGUUGUAACAAUGUCAGUGGAGUAUCAGAAGUCUGUGCUGAAAUCUUUGGAGACUGUGCCUCCAGAGAUAUCAAAGACCACGCUGGUAGAGCUUCCCAUAGCAAAAGUGCUUGAGCCAUCAGAAACCCUCACAAUAGUAUCAGAGACACCUACUGAGGUGCACCCUGAACCAAGCCCAUCAACAAUGGAUUUUCCAGAGUCAUCUACAACUGACGUGCAAAGAUUGCCAGAGCAGCCUGUAGAAGCACCGCCGGAGAUCGCAGAUUCAUCUAUGACAAGACCUCAGGAGUCACUGGAGCUGCCUAAGACCACAGCGGUGGAGCUGCAGGAGUCGUCGGUGGCCUCAGCCCUGGAGUUGCCGGGGCCACCUGCGACCUCCAUGCUGGAGUUGCAGGGGCCCCCUGUGACUCCAGUGCCGGAGUUGCCUGGGCCCUCUGCCACCACCCCAGUGCCAGAGUUGUCAGGGCCCCUUUCUACCCUAGUGCCUGAGUUGCCAGGGCCCCCUGGGACAGUGGUCCCUGAGUUGCCGGGGCCCUCUGUGACACCAGUGCCACAGUUGUCACAGGAAUUGCCAGGGCCUUCAGCACCAUCCAUGGGGUUGGAGCCACCACAGGAGGUACCAGAGCCACCUGUGAUGGCACAGGAGGUGUCAGGGGUGCCUACAGUGUCAGCGGCAAUAGAGUUGACAGGGCAACCUGCAGUAACAGUAGCAAUGGAGUUGACCGAACAACCUGUGACGACGACAGAGUUCGAGCAGCCUGUGGCGAUGACGACGGUGGAACAUCCUGGGCAUCCUGAGGUGACAACAGCAACAGGGUUGCUGGGGCAGCCAGAGGCAGCAAUGGUGCUGGAGUUGCCAGGACAGCCAGUGGCAACCACAGCGCUGGAGUUGUCUGGGCAGCCUUCGGUGACUGGGGUGCCAGAGUUGUCAGGGCUGCCUUCGGCAACUAGGGCACUGGAGUUGUCAGGGCAGUCUGUGGCAACUGGGGCAUUAGAGUUGCCUGGUCAGCUCAUGGCAACUGGGGCACUGGAGUUUUCGGGUCAGUCUGGGGCAGCUGGAGCACUGGAGCUUUUGGGGCAGCCCCUGGCAACGGGGGUGCUAGAGUUACCGGGGCAGCCUGGAGCGCCAGAGUUGCCUGGGCAGCCUGUGGCAACUGUGGCGCUGGAGAUCUCUGUUCAGUCUGUGGUGACAACAUCGGAGCUGUCGACGAUGACCGUGUCGCAGUCCCUGGAGGUGCCCUCGACGACAGCGCUGGAAUCCUAUAAUACGGUAGCACAGGAGCUGCCUACUACAUUGGUGGGGGAGACUUCCGUAACAGUAGGAGUGGAUCCCUUGAUGGCCCAAGAAUCCCAUAUGUUAGCUUCUAACACCAUGGAGACCCAUAUGUUAGCAUCCAACACCAUGGACUCCCAAAUGCUAGCAUCCAACACUAUGGAUUCUCAGAUGCUAGCGUCCAAUACCAUGGAUUCCCAGAUGUUAGCCUCUAGUACCAUGGAUUCCCAGAUAUUAGCCUCUAGCACCAUGGAUUCCCAGAUGUUAGCAACUAGCUCCAUGGAUUCCCAGAUGUUAGCAUCUAGCUCCAUGGAUUCCCAGAUGUUAGCAACCAGCUCCAUGGACUCCCAGAUGUUAGCAACCAGCUCCAUGGACUCGCAGAUGUUAGCAACCAGCUCCAUGGACUCGCAGAUGUUAGCAACCAGCAGUAUGGACUCGCAGAUGUUAGCAACCAGCUCCAUGGACUCGCAGAUGUUAGCAACCAGUUCCAUGGAUUCCCAGAUGUUAGCAACCAGUUCCAUGGAUUCCCAGAUGUUAGCAUCUGGUGCUAUGGAUUCUCAAAUGUUAGCUUCUGGCACUAUGGAUGCUCAGAUGUUAGCAUCUGGUACCAUGGAUGCCCAAAUGUUAGCAUCUAGUACCCAGGAUUCUGCUAUGAUGGGUUCAAAAUCUCCUGAUCCAUAUAGGUUAGCUCAGGAUCCUUACAGAUUAGCUCAGGAUCCCUAUAGGUUGGGUCAUGACCCCUAUAGGUUAGGCCAUGAUGCUUACAGGUUAGGACAGGACCCUUAUAGGUUAGGUCAUGAUCCCUACAGACUAACUCCUGAUCCCUAUAGGAUGUCACCCAGGCCCUAUAGAAUAGCACCCAGGUCCUAUAGAAUAGCACCUAGGCCAUACAGGUUGGCACCUAGACCCUUGAUGUUAGCAUCUAGACGUUCUAUGAUGAUGUCCUAUGCUGCAGAACGUUCCAUGAUGUCAUCUUAUGAGCGCUCUAUGAUGUCUUAUGAACGCUCUAUGAUGUCCCCUAUGGCUGAACGCUCUAUGAUGUCGGCCUAUGAGCGCUCCAUGAUGUCAGCUUAUGAGCGCUCUAUGAUGUCUCCUAUGGCUGAGCGUUCUAUGAUGUCAGCUUAUGAACGCUCUAUGAUGUCAGCUUAUGAGCGCUCCAUGAUGUCUCCUAUGGCUGAUCGAUCUAUGAUGUCCAUGGGUGCCGACCGGUCUAUGAUGUCAUCGUAUUCUGCAGCUGACCGGUCUAUGAUGUCAUCGUACUCUGCAGCUGAUCGAUCAAUGAUGUCAUCUUACACUGAUCGAUCAAUGAUGUCUAUGGCAGCUGAUUCUUAUACUGAUUCUUACACUGAUUCCUAUACGGAGGCAUAUAUGGUGCCACCUUUGCCUCCUGAAGAGCCCCCAACAAUGCCACCAUUGCCACCUGAGGAACCACCAAUGACACCCCCAUUACCUCCUGAGGAACCACCAGAGGGUGCAGCAUUAUCAACAGAGCAGUCAGCAUUAACAGCUGACAAUACUUGGUCUACAGAGGUGACAUUACCUACUGAAGAAUCUGUAUCACAGCCUGAGCCUCCUGUGAGUCAAAGUGAGAUUUCAGAGCCUUUGGUGGUACCUGCUAAUUAUUCAGCGUCAGAAUCAGAGACUUCAAUGUUAGCAUCAGAGGCUGUUAUGACUGUUCCAGAACCUGCACGAGAGCCUGAGUCUUCAGUUACAUCAACACCAGUUGAGUCUGCUGUAGUAGCAGAACACGAAAUGGUUCCAGAGAGACCAAUGACUUACAUGGUUUCUGAGACUACCAUGGCAGCUGAACCAUCUGUGUUAACAUCAGAGGCUUCUGUUAUGGCAGAGACAUCAGAAACAUAUGAUUCCAUGAGACCAUCAGGGCAUGCCAUCUCAGAGGUAUCUAUGUCACUCUUGGAGCCAGCAGUAACUAUUUCACAGCCAGCAGAGAGCAGUCUGGAGCUCCCAUCCAUGGCUGUCCCAGCACCUUCCACUAUUGCUACCACAGAAUCUCUUGUUGCAGUCCCAGAACUUGCUGCUGUGGCUGACUCAGAACCUCCCAUUAUGGCUGUGCCAGAACCCCCUACUGUGGCUGUCCCAGAACCACCUGUUACGACCGCUCCGGAGCCGCCUCCUAUGAUUACUCCUGAACUUUGCUCCUUAUCUAUCUCAGAGUCUCCUGUGGCUGUCUCAGAGCUUCCGGCUUUGGCUGACCCAGAGCAUGCUGUCACUGCAGUGUCGGGUGUUUCUUCCCUGGAGCCUUCUGUGCCUGUCUUGGAACCAUCAGUGUCAGUCCUUCAACCUGUUAUGAUUGUUUCAGAACCAUGUGUUUCUAUCCAGGAACCCACUGUGGCAGUUUCAGAACCUGCUGUCAUAGUCUCAGAGCACACUCAAAUAACAUCACCUGAGAUGGCUGUAGAGUCUUCACCAGUAAUGGUGGAAUCUAGUGUUGUGUCAUCACAGAUUAUGAAAGGAAUGAAUUUACUUUCUGGGGAUGAAAAUCUCGGUUCAGAGGUUGGCACUCAGGAGACUCUGUUGCAUCCAGGUGAAGAGCCACAUGAUGGAGGACACUUGAAAAGUGACUUGUAUGAACAUGAGUAUGAUAGAAAUACAGACCUUACUGUAAACAGUCAUUUAAUUGCUAAAGAAGCAGAGCAUAGUACAGCAUGUGCUGCUGCCAUUGUUCCUGUUGGUGAAACAAGUGAAGAGAAGAUUUUGCCUAUUAGUGAGACUAAGGAGAUGAUAGAAUUGGACACCUGUCCUGCUGUUAGUGAAGCUGAUGUAGGAAGAAGUCUGUCUUCUCAGCUUGCUCUGGAACUGGAUACAGUAGGAACUAGUAAGGGGUUUGAAUUUGUUGCAGCGUCUGCACCCAUUUCAGAGAGUAAAUAUGAUGUUGAAGUAUCUGUAACUACUCAAGAUACUGAGCAUGACAUGGUAAUUUCCACCAGCCCCAGUGGUGGCAGUGAAGCAGACAUAGAGGGACCUUUGCCUGCUAAAGACAUUCAUCUCGAUUUGCCAUCAACAAAUCUUGUUUGUAAGGAUGUGGAAGACUCAUUACCUAUAAAAGAGAGUGAUGAGACAGUGACAGUGGCUCUUAGCCCUAAAGAAAGCAGUGAAGAUACAGAAGGACCUCUUCCCAAUAAAGAAAUAGUUCCUGAUUCAGGUUAUUCUGUCAGCAUUGAUGAAAUUAAUGAAGCUGACUUAGUGAGACCAUUACUUCCUAAGGACAUGGAGCGUCUUACAAGCCUUAGAGCUGGCAUUGAAGGACCUUUACUUCCUAGUGAGGUUGAACGUGACAAGUCAGUUGCCAGUCCAGUUGUAAUUAGUAUACCAGAAAGAGCUUCAGAGUCAUCUUCAGAGGAAAAGGACGAUUAUGAAAUUUUUGUAAAAGUUAAGGACACACAUGAGAAAAGCAAGAAAAAUAAAAACCGUGACAAAGGUGAGAAAGAGAAAAAAAGGGACUCUUCAUUAAGGUCUCGGAGUAAGCGUUCCAAGUCUUCUGAACAUAAGUCACGUAAGCGUACCAGUGAGUCUCGUUCUAGGGCAAGGAAGAGAUCAUCUAAGUCCAAGUCUCAUCGUUCUCAAACACGGUCACGGUCACGGUCACGACGUAGGAGGAGGAGUAGCAGAUCAAGAUCUAAGUCUAGAGGAAGACGGUCCGUAUCAAAAGAGAAACGCAAAAGAUCUCCAAAGCAUAGAUCCAAGUCCAGGGAAAGGAAAAGGAAAAGAUCAAGCUCCCGAGACAACCGGAAAACAGUUCGAGCUCGGAGUCGAACUCCAAGUCGUCGGAGUAGGAGUCACACUCCUAGUCGGAGGAGACGGUCUAGAUCUGUUGGUAGAAGGAGAAGUUUUAGCAUUUCCCCUAGCCGAAGGAGCAGAACCCCCAGCCGCAGGAGCAGAACCCCCAGCCGCAGGAGCAGGACCCCCAGCCGCAGGAGCAGGACCCCCAGCCGCAGGAGCAGAACCCCCAGCCGCAGGAGCAGAACUCCCAGCCGUCGGAGAAGAUCAAGAUCUGUGGUAAGAAGACGAAGCUUCAGUAUAUCACCAGUCAGAUUAAGGCGAUCAAGAACACCUUUGAGAAGAAGGUUUAGUAGAUCUCCCAUUCGUCGGAAAAGAUCCAGGUCUUCUGAAAGAGGCAGAUCACCCAAACGUCUAACAGAUUUGGAUAAGGCUCAAUUACUUGAAAUAGCCAAAGCUAAUGCAGCUGCCAUGUGUGCUAAGGCUGGUGUUCCUUUGCCACCAAACCUAAAGCCUGCACCUCCACCUACAAUAGAAGAGAAAGUUGCUAAAAAGUCUGGAGGAGCUACCAUAGAAGAACUAACUGAGAAAUGCAAACAGAUUGCACAGAGUAAAGAAGAUGAUGAUGUAAUAGUGAAUAAACCUCAUGUUUCGGAUGAAGAGGAAGAAGAGCCUCCUUUUUAUCAUCAUCCCUUUAAACUCAGUGAACCCAAGCCCAUUUUUUUCAAUUUGAAUAUUGCUGCAGCAAAGCCAACUCCACCAAAAAGCCAAGUAACAUUAACAAAGGAGUUUCCUGUGUCAUCUGGAUCUCAACAUCGGAAAAAGGAAGCGGAUAGUGUUUAUGGAGAGUGGGUUCCAGUAGAGAAAAAUGGCGAAGAAAGCAAAGAUGACGAUAAUGUGUUCAGCAGCAGCUUGCCCUCAGAGCCUGUGGACAUUUCAACAGCAAUGAGUGAACGGGCACUUGCUCAGAAGAGACUCAGUGAGAAUGCAUUUGACCUUGAAGCCAUGAGUAUGUUAAAUCGAGCUCAAGAACGGAUUGACGCCUGGGCUCAGUUGAACUCUAUCCCUGGGCAGUUCACAGGAAGUACAGGAGUACAAGUCCUGACACAGGAACAGCUGGCUAAUACUGGUGCCCAAGCCUGGAUUAAAAAGGUGCUGUUCCGAGUACUCCACAGUCCCUGCUGGACUACUAACCCAAUCAUUGCAGAGCAGUGGUUCUCAAAAUUUUCAUCAUGGGAUACUUUAUUACAGGUUUAGUUUUGGUGGAUCACUAUCCCCAAUAACCCUUUGCUACCCUAAUAGUCCAUUCCUUUGUCCUUGUCCUCUCAUAGUGCCUGCACCCGCUUAUAAAUGCCUCUGCUCCUGCCUCUUAGGAUGGCUAGCCCCAGGUCCCUAUAUGGUGGUCAGCUCUUAGAUACAGCCAGUGGUUGGGAGGCCCUAGUUAGUGCUGCAUGUGGUAACCUUGCCAUGGGACUGAGAGGCUGGGGGGAGGGUGGCUGGAAUGUGGGGGUGGGCAGUUGUGAAGGGGGGAUAACAGGGAGGGAUGGGCUGGAGAUAACUAUCUGUGGACCACCAUUUAGGUCCUGGUGGCCUCUGGUGAUCCACAGGCUCCAUUUGAGAACCACUGACUUCAUGAAAAAACAGGCUAUGUAAGACCUAAAAUCAAGGGAGAGGACGGACAUCUCCUGCUGCGAAGAUGUAGGUGCACCUGGUCUCAGAUUCCUGCAGUGAGAUCUGUCAACUCCACCUACGGCUACCUCAUUGUUGGGGGAGUCUUAGGUGGUUAUGCAAGGGUUUCUGAAGAAAUAAGGUCUGCUGAAGGGCUGUGGUUUGGUUGGAUGGGUGAUGGGAAAUUUGUUUCAGGAAACUGGGAGGCUGCGUGGUCUCUUGGAUGGGGAAGGUUUCUUUGUUCUGCUCUACUCCUGACACCUUGUGUGAUUGUAGGCAAGUAAUCCCUUAGAAUUUGUGUCUCCCAAUGUCACGUGGCUGGAGACAGGUUCUUAGGACUGCCUCGGAGAGUGGUGGGUGAAGUGAGAAAUGGAAUGAGUGCUAUUCAUGGAUGUGCUCAAUUUCUCAAGAUAAAAGUUUCGGUUGCUUUGGACAUUUAAUACCAUAACAGUUUAAUAGCAGAAGCAUUACCUGUGAUUCUUUUAUUAACAGAUUAAUACAAGGCACCAUACAUCCUCAUUGUGCUUGCCUCGUUUUCCCCUUAAGAAAUAGUUGCACGAAUAUGUACCUAGGGAUUGGUUUUGGAAAAAAAGGAAUAAUAAUAAUUGGAUUUAUUCUAUAUACUAAUACUUUGUAUAAAUUAUGAAAGUGAUAGUUGAAAAGUAGGGAAGAAUUACAUGUUUGCUUUUUUGUGACAUUGGAUUUAAAACUUGGUAGUAAUGAGCAAGUUCCCUACCACAGAGCCCCAUAGUCAGUCCUCCUUCAUUCAUCUGGUCUUGAAGCUGAGUGUUAAGGAUUAUAGGAAGUUAGACAUGAAGUAUUUUGAGUAUUUAUGCACUUAAUAGUUGAUGCACAUUGUUAGGUACAAAGAAGCUUCUGGAAGGGCUUUCAUUGUAAAGUGUGCUGUUAAUGUGUUUAUAGAUAAGGAGCAGGUAAAUAAAUGUUAAGUGAGUUUCCAAGGUGAGUCUUCACAGUUGACUCCCUAAAUACUUGUAUCAAAUAGUUUUGCUAUUUUUCAGUUUGUAAGAACCUUUAAAAUGAUUUUGCUUUACGUUUUGAAUAAAAUAUAAUCUGAGAAGCAAAUAAUUUUGAUAAAUCAUGUGUUCAUCAGAACAAGCUUACAAGUUUUACAAGAACUAAAAGGAAAGCAGUUUGUAUGUACUCAAGAGUAUCUGCUUGAUGAGAACCAGGGGAGCACUAUUAAAAAUAGGCAGUCAUUUCACUGAUAUUCGCCCUCCUAUUUGUACCCACUGACAUGUUCAGAAGACAUCGAAAGGGCCAUUUGGCUUUUCUUGGACCAGCACUGUCAUUGUGUGUUAAAAACCAUAGGGAAUUCCAACUAACACCCUCUAUGUUCUUUAGUUUGCUUUAGAAUACUUCUAUAUUAAGAGAAAUAGUUCAUCAAUAUACUCAUUUAUUAGUAAAACAAUAAACCCUUUAUUUUCUCAAAUGACCUAGGACUUGGUUUUGUAAUAAUUGUUGGUUAUUGUGUGAUCUCAUUAGAUUAAGACAGGUUUUUACACUGGGGAUAGAGGGAUGCGAAGAUAAUUGCAAACAGAAGCACAAUUGGAAAACGGGGUUAAUUGGGGAUUUAUAUUGUACUCUGUCUGUACAGUUGCCCUUUUUUUUAGGAGUGUUUCCUGGAAAAGAGGGGGAGAUGAACCUGGAAGGCCAAAUCCUUGUAGCUGUCUUCUUGCCCCGGUCAGUGCCAGCCGUACUAUUCACAACACUGCUGCUACCGAGGCCUAGGAUCAGUUCUUAAGAGCAGCCCCAGUAACUGGAGGAAUGGGAGCUGUGUUGAUGAGAAAAAUGGGCUGGAGAGAAGGAG